rnacentral:rRNA from 6 species
CUGGCGGCACUAGCGCGGUGGUCCCACCUGACCCCAUGCCGAACUCAGAAGUGAAACGCCGUAGCGCCGAUGGUAGUGUGGGGUCUCCCCAUGUGAGAGUAGGGAACUGCCAGGC